AGAGCGAACGCUGGCGGCAGGCCUAAUACAUGCAAGUCGAACGGACCCUUCGGGGUUAGUGGCGGACGGGUGAGUAACACGUGGGAACGUGCCCUUUGGUUCGGAACAACUCAGGGAAACUUGAGCUAAUACCGAAUGUGCCCCCUCCUUUGAUUAGGGGGGUGGGAAAGAUUUAUCGCCAUUGGAGCGGCCCGCGUCUGAUUAGCUAGUUGGUGGGGUAAAGGCCCACCAAGGCUACGAUCAGUAGCUGGUCUGAGAGGAUGAUCAGCCACACUGGGACUGAGACACGGCCCAGACUCCUACGGGAGGCAGCAGUAGGGAAUCUUGCGCAAUGGGCGAAAGCCUGACGCAGCCAUGCCGCGUGAAUGAUGAAGGUCUUAGGAUUGUAAAUUCUUUCAGCGGGGACGAUAAUGACGGUACCCGCAGAAGAACGCCCCGGCUAACUUCGUGCCAGCAGCCGC
rnacentral:rRNA from 1 species